rnacentral:rRNA from 1 species
UAAUACCGCAUAACGUCGCAAGACCAAAGAGGGGGACCUUCGGGCCUCUUGCCAUCGGAUGUGCCCAGAUGGGAUUAGCUAGUAGGUGGGGUAACGGCUCACCUAGGCGACGAUCCCUAGCUGGUCUGAGAGGAUGACCAGCCACACUGGAACUGAGACACGGUCCAGACUCCUACGGGAGGCAGCAGUGGGGAAUAUUGCACAAUGGGCGCAAGCCUGAUGCAGCCAUGCCGCGUGUAUGAAGAAGGCCUUCGGGUUGUAAAGUACUUUCAGCGGGGAGGAAGGGAGUAAAGUUAAUACCUUUGCUCAUUGACGUUACCCGCAGAAGAAGCACCGGCUAACUCCGUGCCAGCAGCCGCGGUAAUACGGAGGGUGCAAGCGUUAAUCGGAAUUACUGGGCGUAAAGCGCACGCAGGCGGUUUGUUAAGUCAGAUGUGAAAUCCCCGGGCUCAACCUGGGAACUGCAUCUGAUACUGGCAAGCUUGAGUCUCGUAGAGGGGGGUAGAAUUCCAGGUGUAGCGGUGAAAU